rnacentral:lncRNA from 1 species
CUCCUUUCUCCCUUCUCCUCUUUUCCUUCUAUCCACCAUACCCAAAUCAAAAGACCUAGAUUUGCCACGUCACCCCCAUAGCUGCACCUCCUCUGCCAAUAUUCUCCUAUUUUUAACCAUCCAAGCUUGUGAAUUUGUGAGAAUCAAAGGAAAAAGACCCAAUUCGAUGUUUGAUAUCAAUUUCUCCAUUAAUGGCCUGGAAAAAGAAUAGAUUUAUUACAGAAUUUCAUAUCAAUUUUUAAACCAAGUCGUCUUCUCAUCACUCUUGCUUAAAUCAAGUUUCAAAUCUGAAAUUUCAAGUAUUUAUUUCACCUAUAAAUAUGAGUAUUCUUCACCCAUUGGGGGAGAGGUUUUGAAGGACGAAAAAAGGGGGAAGAAGCAAAAAACAAGUCUUGAGAAAUAAAAUUGUGAAAAAAAAAGGGCGGACAAUCUUUGAGAGAAAAUAAAGGUUCAAGAUUAAGGUGGAAAAUUAGAGGAAAAUAAGCUUGAAAGGUUAGGAUUUCAAAAAUAAAUAAAUAGAGAAAGCAGAAGCAAAACACAAGAGAAUUAAAAGAAAAGAGAGAAAGCAGCCUGUUCUGAAAAUCUUAACAAGGUCUAGUAUUGCAAUAUCUGGCUUUAUUUUUAGCUUGGUGUUAAAUUUGGUGAUUUCUAUUUGAGUUCGAAGUCGGUGGAAUCUUGACAUGAAAGCCCCGGCUUUGCUGCACCAAAAAAGGUGUGAGUCUACUUUCAUCUCUUUUCCCCUCAUCUAUUUGGUCUCAGCGAUAUAUGAUCUUUUAAUUUAUAAGCAUAUUUUCUUGUUGUCCUUUUUUGGUAAAUAUGAGUUUUAGUCCAAAAAUGAAAAAAUAUUUUCAUACGUGAAUAUCAAGAUCUAUAAAUAUGUGUGUUUACUUCACUGGGGUGCUGCUAGUCAUUUUUAUUUACUCAUUAUUUAUUUAGACAAGAGUUACUAUCCCUUACAUGCUAUAUUUUGUGAUUUGUUCCCACUGACGGAAAGCAAGAUGACGUGAGAAUCAUCAUUUGUUUCCCCGUUCGGAUGUGUUUUGUGAAUACGGGAUCCCAUCGACAUUGUUGUUGUUAUUCUGGUGUUAUGAAUAAGAACAUGAUAAUAUUUUAUUUGGUGUAGGCAUAUCAAAAUAUGGCUAAAAAUUAUUAUUUCCUUAUAUCCAAGUCGAAUCCGUGAGUACAUUCUAUUUGCGAAAUUGAGUUAUGUGUGUUUUUUUUUUGGAUAAUUGAUAUGUGCGUCACAGUCUAUUCUUUACAAAUCAAAGUUUUAAAGGAGCAAUUCUAUUUUGGCAUCAGAAGUAUAUGAAAGGAAAAGGCCAAAUAGUUGCUCACUUUACUUUUUGUAUUAAAAAAGGGAGUCGUUUUUUUCUUCAUCAACUAUAUUUGAAGCCUUAUGGAAUUUUCAAAGGAAAAGUGUUUAAAGAAAGUUUUGAUAAAUGAAAAAAUGUUGAAUACAUUUUUUCAAAGGAAAUGUGUUUAAAGUUAGUUUUCAUAAAUGAAAAAAUGUUGAAUAGUUUUGCACGACAAACUGGUGAAAUUUUUAUUUGAAAUAUUUUACGAGUGAUGAUUAUGCUUGAUCAAACUACUAUUAUAUUGUUAUAAAAUGUUAAAUUACAGGGAAUAAGUGUUUUAUUGAAGUUAUGCUAUGAAGUGUUUUAAAAAGAGAAUAUUUUAUUUGAUUCAAACUCACUAUAUGUUUACGAUUGUAGGGAAGAAGAUUGAAUCUUUAAGUAACUAAAGACAAAAAUAAAAGAUUUUUUUAGGAUCCUAAUUUUCUUUUUUUUAAACUCUAUUAUUUUUGUUGGUAGUUUAUGGUAACAUUAUUUGCCUUAAUUGGGCUCAAAAUAUGUUGGAGAAAUUUAUUUGUAGGAUUAGUAACUAAGACUCCAGUAUCAUUUUUUAAAAUAAAUGCAUGCGUGAUACCUCCUGUUACCCUACAUAAUCCUUAACAUGCACUGUAGCUAUGUUUGCUCCCUAACUGUGUGUGCCAUGUGACUCAAAUUAUCCAAGUAUUUAUUAUUUGGUUCAUUUUACCGAGUAUAGUUUUAACCCUUACUAAUCCUUAUCCUUUUAUUUUACAUGUAAUCCGGAGUUGUGGUUUCGCAUUGGAACUCGUUUUGACCCAAUAUGUGGUUAAUAGCUACUAGGAGUACAGAGCCUCAGAGUCCCGCAGAUUAGGAGCCUAAAUUCCCCAAAUGGGAUUUUUAUAUUCCUUUUCCUCUUUAUAUUUUAUUUACAUUCGGCAUAUUGAUUCUUUCGUUACAACUAACUCUCAUUGUCAAUUUUGCUUAAGGUAGUUUUAUUUGAUUGUUUGGAUUAUUUUGCUAUACUACUUGUUGACCCUUUUACGUGUUUUUUUUUACAUUUCAUUUCUCGCAAAUAUCAUAUGAUUAUCGUCCAGAUAAAAAAUACACCUUGAUCACAUUCGGAUAACUCUUUUAAUAAUCUAUGACUAAUAUUUUAAAAUAAAAUUGGCAUAGUAACCUUUAUGUUUCUCUGAAAAUACAUAUCAAUGAAAAGAACUUUUCAAAACUAAUAGGAAAACAUUACCAAAUUUACAUUUUUAGGAUUACUUCCACCAAUUUAAAUUAUUUUUUUGAUAAAUAAUUCUAAUGUUUAGCACCGUAUUUUACUCAAGUUUUCAGGAUAGAAAUGUAAGGUAUAUAUUUCUAUUCAUCUGCUACUGCGUACAAGGUAUAUUAUUUUAUACUAUAAUAACUAUUUUGUUACUAUUAUUGAUCAUUGUUAUUACCAAUAUUAAUAUUAUUAUUAUUAUUAUUAUCAUACUGAAACUAUUGUCAUUAUUUUAAUUUAUUAUUAUCAUUAUUAUAAUUAUUAUUAUCCUUAUAUUUUUUUUACAUAAUUUCAAUAUAUCCAUAAUUCAACAUCUAUUUUUUUACACUCUUGAAAUUACGUUCUACAAAUAAAUUCCUAUGUCAUAAGAUACUUUAUUUACUUCAUAAAUAAUUAUAGUUAACCAUUUAAAGCUACAUAUUUCUUUGAUUUUUCUUGUAGAAUUAUACGAUUUUAAAUUUUUCAAAUAUAUAGAAAAUUAUAUCAUCAUCCUUUUCAUACUUAAAGUGCAUGUAUAUUUUGCAAUAAUUGCAUUACUUUCUUUGUACGUGGUAGCAUCAUGUUUGAUAUACCUUAAAUUUUCGUUUGAAUAAUAAAUAAUAAUAAAAGUUUUUCUUAUCAUUGUUUUAUGCAAAUAACAAAAUAAAGUUAUUUUUUAAUAUUUUCCUAAACUAAGCAUAAGGACUAUCUUCGGAUAGGCUCUGAGGGGUGCCUAGCAUCUUCGGAUAGGCUCUGAGGGAUGCCUAGCACCUUCCCCUCGGAUAACCAAAACCCUUACUUAGAAUCUCUAAAAUAUUUUCGAAGAUCGAAGUAGAGUUUUCUACAUAAAAAAUAUUUUUUCCUAAUUUUCCUAAAAAUUUAGGUGGUGACUCUAAAAAAUAAUUUUCAAAUCUCUAGAGUCACGACAUACCACCAUACGUUGUGUGCUGUUUCGAUCGGUUUGGAAUAGGGCGCGACAAUAUCUUAUAACUUAUUUAAGGUUUCAUAAUUAACUGUAAUAGAUCAUAUAUUCUAAUACUUAUUUUAACAUCACGUCAAAUACAUUCUCUUAGAUUAAACAACUAAUUGUAAUAUUUUUCUUUUACUACUUUAUUUAAAAAUUAUAUGAGACAAUAGAUUAAAAUUAUAAAUAUCUAUUUAUUAACAUUUUAUAUAGAAUCAUACGAAGCAAUAAAGGAUACUAAUCCAUACACAAAUUGAUUUUAAAUAUAUUUUUAUUCGUUUUGCUGGUAUUUAACAAGUUAAAAUAAGGACCCACUGGAUGAACAUUUUAAUGAAUCAUAAUGCUAAAGGAUUGCCUUUAUAUCUUAUCUUAUAUAUGUUAAAGAUAGGAGACCAAUUUAAUAUAGUAAGUAAUAAAUUUUCUUUAAGUGAUUUGUCUACCUGAAUUGGAAUUUUCCUACUUCAAAUAAAGAGAAUCAAAAGAAUUAACAAAAGUUCGCAUGAUAUAUAUUAUAGUAAUUUAACAUGAGAUAGUUAAUAUUACAUUUUAAAUAAUAUGCUUAAAAUAAUUCUAAAAGGUGCUGAGCAAAUAAUUAUGUUUUCAUAAAUUAUAUGUUGUGCAAACCUUUGUAAUAUGUAUCAUGUGAAGUUUUAAAAUUAUAGAGGAAUCGCUUAUUGUGUUUGGCGGAUAAACACCAAUUCAAUAUUUAUGAGUAUUUUUUGUUAUCUUACUAUAAUAUAGUAAUAGUUACUUUAUGCAGUUAAAUGUGUGGCUAAAAUUAACUUCACAUUUUUAUGUUCUAUGGAACAUAUGUGAGUAUUUACACAUACUCCUAUAGACUAUGUCUUCCUUAUUUCAAUUGGGUUAGGAAGGAGCUUAGGGGCUCGGGUUCAUAUGGUGAAAUAUCCUAUGAAAAUUUUACCUAUGGUCAGCUUAUAGUAGCCUGUACUCAGCAAGGUUUAGCUUUGUGCAAUGAGUUAAAAUUAGCUAGACAAAUUAAGCUUGAUAAACUUAAAGAAAAAUCCCAAUUAGGAGAUUUUUAUGAGCAAUUUGGUAUGGAUAAACUGGCUUCUACUUCUUAGGAAAAGGGUCAAAGAUAUUCUAAGUCUGAUAAACCCUAUAAGCAGAAGAGAUCUAGGAAUAGAUCCAAAGAAGAGCGUGAGACUCAUAUAGCCCAUCGUAAGUCUACUAGAUUUGCGAAGAAUAGGUCUAAGCGUGAUCUUGCAAAAAUUAAGUGUUACAAAUGUGGUAACUUAGGGCAUAUUGCUCCUAACUGCAAGCUCCAAAAGCUUACGUUCAUAGGUCUUGCUGAUGAUAUUCAUGAUCAAUUUUAUGGUUUGAUAUAAACUUUCGGUUCUGAGUCUGAUUAUAAUUGUGACUCUGAAUUUGAAAAUGAUAUUGAAUUGCCUAAUUCAUCUGAUAGUGAGCAUGCUAAUAUUUGUGCUGACUGCAAUGGUGAUAAUUGUGUUUGUGAUGAAACUUUUUAUAAAUUGCAAUCACAGUUUGAAGAUUUAGAUUUAAAUGUUCAAACCCUUACCGAUGAUAGCGUUCUUGAGUUAUUAAAAGAAGUUUUCGAUGAAAAAAUUCAUGAAAAAAUUAUUACAACUGCUACUAAAAAAUCUGCUGAUAGCGCCCCUAGUACUUCUAAAAUAGCUGAUAGCACUCACACAUCUCGGAGUACUGAUAAUGCUUAUUACAUGCCUUAUUCUUUAGCUGAGGUUAAUAGACGUCUUGCUGUAAGUCAAUUACUCGGCAAAGAUACAUCUUUCAAUGAUUUAAAAAUUGAGGUUGAAAACCUAUCCUACCCUUUUAUUAUUGAUCCAGUAACUAGAGAUACAAAUACUUUAAUUGAUAUGAAGCAAAAACAUAUAAACUUGUUACAACUUAAAAUAUUUUGGCAUGAAUAUUGGUGAUACCAUGAAAUCUUCUAAGGUACAGGAGAAUAUAAAAAUAAUCUCCGAAAAAAUGAUUAUUGAUAUAUGUGCUGAUCACCUCAAUGUUUUUUAGGAUCGUAAACAACAUGUUGUAACUCUUCCAUUUAAAGACGAUUUCUGUGAGGACAAGAUCUCAACGAAAUUAAGACCCUGCCAAAUGAAUGCAGAGCUAGUCGAAUUCUGCAAAAAGGAGAUUGAUAAUCUCUUACAAAAGGGUCUAAUAAAACCUUCUAAAUCUCCUUGGUCUUGUACUGCAUUUUAUGUGAAUAAUGCAGCUGAAAAAAAAUGUGGUAUGCCGAGGUUAUUAAUUAAUUAAAAACCUCUUAAUAAAUGUCUGAAAUGGAUUAGAUACCCUAUUCCAAAUAAAAAGGAUUUAUUGUCCAGAUUAUUUGAUGGCAAUAUAUUUUCUAAAUUUGAUUUAAAAUCUAGUUAUUGGCAAAUUCAGAUUUUUAGAGAGCACACUUAUAAAACUGCUUUCAAUGUCCCAUUCGGUCAAUUUGAAUGGAAUGUGAUGCCUUUUGGAUUGAAAAAUGCUCCUUCUGAAUUCCAGAAAAUAAUGAAUGACAUUUUUAAUCCAAAUAUGGAUUUCAUUAUUGUUUAUAUUGAUGAUAUUCUGGUGUUUUCUAAAACAUUAAAAUUACAUUUUAAACAUCUUGAUAUAUUUAAAAAGAUUGUGAUACAAAAUGGUUUGGUAAUAUCUAAACCAAAAAUGAGUUUAUUCCAGACAAGUAUUCAAUUUUUAGGUCACAGUAUUUGUCGAGGGAAGAUAGUCCCUAUUCAGCGUUUUAUUGAUUUUGCUGAUAAAUUUCCUAAUGUUAUCACUGAUAAAACCCAAUUACACAAAUUCAUAGGGAGUUUGAAUUAUAUAUCCCCACUUUAUGAGAAUCUGUCAAGAGAUUUAGCUCCCUUAUAUGAUAGAUUAAAAAAGCGCUUUCAAGGUCCCUAGACUAAUAGUCAUUCAAACCUUGUAAAACGUAUUAAGCAAUGUGUAAAAUCUUUGUCAUGCUUAACUUUAGCUAACCCUACUUGGCUAAAAAUUAUUGAAACUGAUGCCUCUAACGUUGGUUAUGGAGGAAUACUUAAACAAAUUAAUUCCCAUAAAAAUAUUGAAGAAUUGAUACAAUUUCAUUUCGAAAAAUGGACUGAUAGUCAAAAAAAGUAUGCAACGGUGACAUAUGAAAUGUUAACCAUUGUUAAGUGCGUUCUAAAAUUUCAGGAUGAUUUAUAUAAUCUAAAUUUUUUGAUUAAAACUGAUGCUCAAUCAGUGAAGUAUAUGUUUGACAAAGAUUUUAAACAUGGUGCUUCAAAAUUGAUAUUCGCAAGGUGGCAAGCUCAAUUAGCCCCUUUUGAUUUUGAAAUUCAAUAUAAAAAAAGAAUUGAUAAUUCCCUGCCUGAUUUCUUAUCUAGAGAAUAUUUAAGUGAAAAAUAAUUUUUUACACUCAUUUCCUCUCUACAAAAAUGAUAAUCACUACUAUAAAAGUAAUCUCUUUGAACGCAGAUAUGCAUAUGCUUAUUCUUGAAAAAUCAUACAUUCUAUAAUUGAAGAUGAAUUUGUUGUCUUUAAUUAUGAAGAAAUUAGAGACAAAAUUGAUUGGAUUAAUAUUGAUUCAUUUGACUAAUCUAUUCUAUGCAUUAUGACUACAGAUUCGCCCUGACAAAUGGCCAGAGGAAAAGGUAGAGGCAGAGGAAGAUACUUCUCUUCUGGGGGAAUAUCCACCCCUCAUCAUCACAUCCUCAGGCAUCAUAUGCUUCAUCAUCAAAUACCCCAGUGAUACGAAGGGGAAAUAUGAGUUUGAUAAAUUCUAAGGUUCCGCAGAUAGGCGAAUCUUCAUCAUAAUCGAUCCAUCUAGAAGAUAUUCCAAAGGAUCAUCCAUUAUAUAGACAAUUCCAGUCAUAUUUAACUGUAAAGCAAGCAGAUACGUUUGCUAAAAUAACAAAAGAAAAUGCUGAUAGCAAACCAUAUGAACAACUUGAUAAUAGAGAGCUGAUAGUUCUCGUUAU